UGCUCGUUGGUCUAGGGUAUGUUUUCGCCGCUUGUGAGAGGUCCCGGGUUCAAAUCCCGGAUGAGCCC